GCCAUCUAGAUGGUCCUGAAGGGCUGGCCAGUGACCCGCUGGGCUUGCGGUUGCAGCUCAGGGCCGCUUAGUGCUGCGGGUUGGUGAGGACGCCGACUUCAGGAUCUGCUCGAGGAAACUGCCCUUCCCCGGGAAGGAGGGCAGGCAGCCACCCUGACGCUUGUUCUCCGGCUGCCUCUCCAGGCCUGCUUCGCUGCGGCUGGACCCUUCACAGAGAGCCGCGCGGGGGCAGGCUGGAUGCUGCACUCUAGCUGGAGGGAGUCAGGAAUGGCCCAGGAGCCGCCUCAUGUGGAUGUCCUAAAGGAUGAGGGGACGGAUUUCACUGCCCUGGGGUGUUGGGCAACUGGUCUGCUUCAGGGCACUUUCAGGCACGUGCCGCACCAGAGGCAGCCAGAGGAUCUGCCCCAGUGUCCUGGGCCUGCAGGCGGCGGGGCUCCUGUCCCUCUGGGCCGGGCCUUCUGUCUGGGACUCUCUUCCUGAGGGGACAGGACAGGUGAGAGGUCCCCCACCAGAGCGAGUCCUGGGCCCACGGGACCAGCCUCUACCACGUCUACUGCAGCAGGGCUGGAAGUCACCUAAGCAGGAUCACUGGAGGCUGUGUCCCGCUGGGUGGCUGUCCAGGCUGUGCUCCGGGCCCCUGUCUGCAACUACAGACCCCGUGGUGCAGGGCCCGGGCCGGGCUGAGGCUUGUGAGAAACAACCCUGGGCCCAGGCUAGGGGCCAGUUGGUGGGGGUCAUGGCCCUAGGCUGUGGGGAGCAGUCGUGA
rnacentral:lncRNA from 1 species